rnacentral:rRNA from 1 species
UACGGGGGGGGUAAGCGUUGUUCGGAAUUACUGGGCGUAAAGGGCUCGUAGGCGGCCAACUAAGUCAGACGUGAAAUCCCUCAGCUUAACUGGGGAACUGCGUCUGAUACUGGAUGGCUUGGAUUUGGGAGAGGGAUGCGGAAUUCCUGGUGUAGCGGUGAAAUGCGCAGAUAUCAGGAGGAACACCGGUGGCGAAGGCGGGUCUCUGGGCCGUAACUGACGCUGAGGAGCGAAAGCGUGGGGAGCGAACAGG